GAUGAACGCUGGCGGCGUGCCUAAUACAUGCAAGUCGAGCGAACAGACGAGGAGCUUGCUCCUCUGACGUUAGCGGCGGACGGGUGAGUAACACGUGGAUAACCUACCUAUAAGACUGGGAUAACUUCGGGAAACCGGAGCUAAUACCGGAUAAUAUAUUGAACCGCAUGGUUCAAUAGUGAAAGACGGUUUUGCUGUCACUUAUAGAUGGAUCCGCGCCGCAUUAGCUAGUUGGUAAGGUAACGGCUUACCAAGGCAACGAUGCGUAGCCGACCUGAGAGGGGGGACCGGCCCACUUGAAAUGGGAAACGGGUCAAGACCCCAAGGGAGGGAGGCGGAGGGAAUUUUCCGCAAUGGGGGAAAGCCUGAAGGAGCAAAGGCGCGUGGGGGAUGAAGGUCUUUGGAUUGUAAAACCCUUUUAUUAGGGAAGAAAAAAUGUGUAAGGAAAUGUGCACAUUUUGACGGUAACUAAUCAGAAAGCCCCGGCUAACUACGGG
rnacentral:rRNA from 1 species